rnacentral:lncRNA from 1 species
CGCUCACCCAGCCAAGACUCCUGGGCCCCAGCGUCCCGGCAGAACGUCUCCGCCCCGCCCUCCCGGCCACGCCUCCCAGACCACGCCUUCCCACUCCCGCUCGCCGGGCCACACCUCUCAGGCACUGCAGCCUGGCCAGACACAGCAACCCCGCCGCCCGGCUCCGCCUCCCAGGCUCUGGGACCACUGGCAAGCCUUCUUUGAUUCCCGGUCCCACCCACGCUUGCCUCGGCCCGGGAGCCCCACCCACCCUUUCACUCCUCGGCUCAGCUGCCAGCAGGGUACCGCUGGCCGGCGAGCCGGGCGGGCGCCGCGUCUCCAGCAUCCACGAGGGACUCCAUCGAAGCUCGCGCGGACAGCGGAGCAGGAAUCGGCCCCAGAGGACCCAUGGCGCCUACCGCGACCCCUGACUUCCUCCUGCGCGUCCUGGCUCCGCUGCUACUGUUAUUGCUGCUGCUGGUGUUGGAACCUCUCUGGGCGGCCUGCAAUGGCACCCUCUCUCUUUGCUAUGAAUUCACCACCUAUCCUAAGCCCCCGCCCGGACAGCAGUGGUGCACAAUCCAGGGUCUGGUGGAUCAGAAAACGUUUCUUUCCUAUGACUGUGGGGGUGUCAAAGCCAAAUCCAUGGAUGUCGUUGGAGGAAAGGUGAACAGCACCGAGACCUGGGGACAGCAGCUACAAACACUACAGGAUUUGGGCCACAAGUUCAGAAAGUUGCUGCUUGACAUUAACCCUGGUAAGUCAGAAUACUCCAAGGGAAUAAGAGAUCGGGUAU